rnacentral:lncRNA from 1 species
AUGGUAUGCAAAGUGCAGUGGGUCUAGUGUGAAGAGACCCUUAACUAGCAUGAAAGAACUUCAUGAUGACAGAAAUGCUACAGUUACUUGAGGAUAUCAGUAUUCUAUGAGAAUGUAAUUAUCAGGAUAACCAUGGGUAACUGUUCCAAAUAAAUACAGUAAGCUGUACAAAACUGUUGGAAAUGGUUUGGAAUAAUGAGUGCAUCCAGAAAAAGACAGACACAAAGUAGGGGGGGGAAAGGGAAGGGAUUUUAUUUUUUGGGGGUUUACUUUUUGAUUAGACCAAUUAAAAGCAGUGCUUUGAGUUCCUUUUUUAAGUCAAAUUCAAUCAAGUCUGGACAUGUGGCAUAAUUUCAUAUUCAUUGGUGACCGUAAACAAAUGGGACAAAUUAAAAGCCAAUUUGUUGAGAAACCCUUGAGUUUCAAAUUUAGGACAGAGACUUAUACAUGCAUGAAUCAUUAGCAGAAACCAACAGAACACAUCUUUGUUUAACAAAAAAAGGCAGAUGAAAAACAGGUUGACAAUAACAUAGGGCCAAAUUCAAAUUAUCUUCUGGCAGAAGAACAGCAGAUAAUUGAAGGUGGUUUUAAGAUACACAUUUUUUGGUCAAUGAAUAAUAUUACCUAAUCACAAAAUAUAAAUCAAUGUUGAUCAACAACAGAAUUUCGCAAUGUUGGGUUAAAAUGUAGGCACAAUCAAGUUCAACAACUCAAUUCAGGACACGUUUUCCAGACAGAUCAUAAGUAGUCCUGAAAAAAAAAAAAAAUUUCAAUGGAGACUAUCCAUUGAAAUAGUUGUUUUAAUCCAGGUUUGGGGUCAAUCUGUCUGGGAAACCAGCCCCCAGUGGCUGUCUUCAGGCUGUAGCACACCCGGAAACUAAAAUACUGGAACAAUUCAUACAUAUCGAAGUCUCCUCAAAAGGUCAAAUGUAAGCUACGUUUUUUUGCACACCGCAUUUUUUCACCCUACACUGUGCAUAAUACAAAAUAAAAAACAUGUGCAAGAUUACUGACAUUACACAGUGAAGGGGUAUUGACAAAUGCUAUAGGCAUAUUCUUUUUUACAAAAAUAUUCAGUAUUUGAAGUCAAGACAUGUCCUUAGCAUGACUUAUACAUUCAGUGUUAUUACUAAAAAUACUUUAUAAAGCAGGUUUAAAAACACACUGCUAAAUGUACAUAUGCUACCAGUAUUUUUACACAUUUCAUUAUUUACAUGGCUCUUUUUCUUUAACUUAUUUCAAGCUCGUGAGCUCCGUUUUGUCGUCUCUAAGAUGGCCAUUACAGUUCCCAUUCUGCAAAGAAAAUAAAAGACUGCCUCCCCUCAAAUUAGAACCUAGAGAGAGAUAGUCAAUUAACCACCCACUGAUAUAAAGGCCUCUCAGCCUGUAACUUAUAAAAACGAUUUUGAUUGCAGUGCAAGAAGAGUAGGGUGCAGGAAGCAGUGAGUAUCUGGAGAUUGCCGCUGGAGACUUUAAAUGUAAACAGAUCCACACUGGCCUUGCGCCUAACGUCCUCUGUGCCACGUUACACACUUCCUUGUAAGAAACUGCCACACAGCAAACAGGGCCACGGCAUAGGAGAUCGAGGUUGUGAAACUUAGUUCCACGUUCCUGUUGAAUCUGGCCCUCUUCUGCAUUGUUUACGGUGUGGGGUUUCAGUAGGGAAGGAGAUAGUUUGAAAGUGGCUAAUAGCAGUACUGAUUGCGUUGGAAAAAAGUGACCCAGAGGACCAAAUUCUCUGUGCCACUCAAGCCAACGUGGUUGAUAUGGCACUGGUAACCACGUCAGACAUACAAGGGAGAGAUGGUGAAAAAAAGUGACAGCAAAAGACAUUGGUUUGGUUAAGACAAAACUGACUCAUUGAUUAAUAACCACAUCACAAAUAGACAAAAUAAUUGUAUGAUAGAGCUGCAGAGCGCACAGCGCAAUAAAAAAGUACAGGAGUUGAACGUCCAAGGCCUGUGUGCCAUGGCCUCUACACUUCAGUUUGAGGUUAUACUUGUGACCUGUACUCACUACUACAGCGGAUUCCCUCCUGAAAGAUAGCUCUGGUUUCCCUGCAGAACAGUGGAUUUUACAUCCCCCCCAAAACCAGAGGGAAAACAGUAAGUCAAACUAAAAAAUAUGCUACUAUUGUAGAUUGUGCUUCAGGCAGCACCAGGUUGUCAGAGGUGAACUCCUUAAUGAUUAACAGAACUUAACGUGCCAAAGAAUUACCGGUCCACAGAAAUGGACUGUAAAUGAGACUGCAUUAACAUGUUAUUACUAACAGUAUCCAACCCUACCGUUUGGGAAGAAAAGCCCACAGACUUGCUAUAACGGCCAACAAAAAAACAACAAAACAAAAAAACAAGAGCAUGAAUACGAAGGAUAUCCAGUUCAUCGUUAGUGACAGAAACAGACUCCAAUGAGAGCAUUCUCCCCCACCAACAAGGCUGCAGCGCUGUAAUACCUGUGGUACUCCAAAAAAAUUUAUAAAAAAAAUAUGGGUGACAAACAUCUGCAGAGAUUUCCCUACAACAUGCCUACCCACCCAUCGAACACAGUCUAAAAUAGCCAAAAGUAUAUUACAACGCUGGGGCGUUCAAGGCAGGCAGGAGCCUUCGUUCACACGUUGGCUUUGAAAGGUCAGGUUAUGGGAGUCCAUCUCUAGGCAUGCACCUUGAGGAGGCUCUUCAGCUGGAAGGCCAUCAUCUCCCUGCUGUCACGAGUACCCAUGGGGACCCAGUGGCUGGGGGGCUUGGGCAGCACACUGGGGGAGGGUGGCUCGCUGAACUUGGCCCCUGCAUAGCUCGGGCCGCCACACUGGGCGGCCAGAAGUGUGUUCAGGUGGGACACAGCGCCCUCCCAAUUCUGAUCGUAGGCGUUGGCAAAACGGACAGAAGUGUUUUUCUUCUCAGCCGACGCGGCCAGCCGCGCCUCUGGAAACCAGGGGUAGGCUGCGCCCUUGCGGUGGCCAUGUUGGUGAGGACCUCCCGCCGCCCCUGAGGAUGCUACAGUUGUCACUCCAUUCUGAUCACGGACAACUCUCUGCUUGGCCCUGCCCAGCUGAUGGUUCUUCUUGGGCAAUGGGCGCUCUGGGUGGGACACUGGAAUGUUGUACCUCUCUCCACCUCCCAUACUGUACUUUCCAGACUAUGUCACCUGAAAGAGGAAUACAUUUAAAUUAAGAAACAAAUCUAAAAAAAAACAAAAACAUUGAAGCAAUUAAUUUCUAACAUUUACAAUUUAGUCAUUUUUCAGACACUUAUCCAGAACUUACAAGUGCCUUGCUCAAGGGCAUACAGAUGUUUCACCUAUUCAACUCAGUGAUUCGAACCAGCGACAUUCCAACGCUCUUAAUGCUAACGUUACCUGCAGCCUAAAAAUUAAACAUGACAAUUGUCCCCUGUUGACAACACCGCUUUAACAAUAUUUUUUUAAAUAUAUAUAUAUGCGUAGUUGAUAAGACGGGCAAAAUAGAAUUAACAGAACUGUUGGAACAAUUGUGCAUUACUGAAGCUACUCCAAUGAGCUAAAUUGGGCUACGUGCAAAAGAUCAGCCCUUCCCCCACCCGACAGCAAAAACAGUGUAGCAGCCAAUGCCUACCUCUUUGUUGUUAGAAAGUUGGCUGUGCAGAGAUGUUUCCUUCUUAAUUUCUCCUUUCCAAUUGGGCUCCAGGUCCUCAAAGUAGUCUUCGGUCUACUUCUCGCUGCACUUUUAGGUCCAGCAAGAUCUGGAGUUGUCAUGUGCCAAUGAGCGUCGUUUUCCCGUGAAGCCGAGUAGAACAUCAAUUCACUUCAGCGCACGAAAAUGCUCAAAGAAGCCGAUCUAAACAAAACAUUUUUUUAAUAUUUUUUUUAAAGAAAUACUUCGGGCAAAAUAGAAUGACACUGCUCCAAGUAUGUAAACUGUUGAUGUUACAAAUUGAGAAUGGGGCCAGUUGUCUUGUGACAAACAUGCAUCUUCACAAAGCUAACUACAUUCUACAAACUGUCUGGUAAAAUCCAUAAACUGGUAGCAACAUAAUGCAUAUUGGUUUACUGGAAAAUAAAGCAGGUAGCUAACUAGCGUCCAUGUUUAGCUAUGUAAAGCCACCACGUAAACAGCGAAUAAUGCUUUCACUGGCGUGGACGACUGCGAACGUCGUCAACAAAUGUUACGUUAGCUUGGUGGAGAAAUCGAGCGAUUGAUGUUCACUUUAGCUGAAUACAUUUUUUAAAUACACCUGGAUUAACCGUAAUUUGUGCUUGUUAACAUUACUAAAGUUAGAUAUGUUCAGGGUUCUUAUUAUCAUUGUAAGUAAAUAGCCGUCUAUCUAGGUCACUUCUCUGGCAACAAAACAAAGAACGCCACUCAUAAGUCAUAUGGCGUCACAAAUUCUAGCUAAAUUAACUUAGCCAAUUUAGCUAAACACAGGCUCUUACCGACUUCCUCAGGCUUAGUUGGUAAAAGCCCUUUGUCAGAGACUGUUGAAUUGACGUCUGAACUCUCUGAAUGUAGAAAUUGCUAUAUCUAGAAACGUGUGUACAUCUCUAUUCCCUCUCGACUGUCUGAUUUGCAACAAA